rnacentral:lncRNA from 1 species
AUGGGAUUGGAGGUUAAAAAGUUCUUUUUUCUUUGUGAUGAAGUGAGAGUGGGAAUCUCUAUUUCGGAAGAGUGCGGAUGCUAAUCCGGAAAGGAGGGAACGCGAGGAUCACUGGGAGAUCGCACGCGGGUUCGGAUGUUUGGGUGCAAAUGUGCUUGUUAAAAUCAUGACAGGAUUGGGCCCGCGCGGUUUGGGGCCAUGAUGCAUCCCUCUAAACCCUACCAAAUGCGCAUUUAAACUUUAAUUUAUACUAACCUGUGUCAAACCCAAAUAUAAUAUUAUUUAAGUGAAUUUAUUAUUAUCGGUUAGCAAAAACACUAAUUUUGGUGACAUGUAGGUCGCACUUUUGUGCUCUCAUCA